CAAUCCUCCCACCUCCGCCUCCCAAGUAGCUGGAACUACAGAUUUUAACAAUCAGACUCAGGUCAACAGUGGUUGAGAUAAUGGCCCAUAAUUGGCUCCAGAAUGCAAACGUGGCAUUUCUCCAGGAUUCCAUUAGCUCAGAAUGACAAGUCCUGCAGAUGAGGACUACUUCCUGCACGAUGACCACAGCGGCUAAGAGGCUGAGGCAGGAGAACCGCUUGAACCCAGAAGGUGGAGACUGUGGUGAGCGGAGAUUGUGCUGUUGCA
rnacentral:lncRNA from 1 species